rnacentral:rRNA from 1 species
CCCGUGAGACGCCCUUUUUCCUCACCAGAUGAAGGAGCCGGCAUCAGGCACAGACCCCUAGCCCAUGACACCUAGUUAUACCACACCCUCAAGGGCAUUCAGCAGUGACAAAUAUUACUCAUAAGCGUCAGCUUGACUUAGUUAAAGAAAAUUAGAGCCGGCCAAUCCGGUGCCAGCCGCCGCGGCUACACCAGCAGGCUCAAGUCGAUAGCCAUCGGCGUUAAGCGUGAUUAAAGAGACCCUAAAUUAGAGUUGUAUAUAAAUUUAGUAGUGAUAAGCUUAUUAUUUAGAAAAACAAAAACGAAAGUUACUCUAAUCUUGCUUGAAUACACGACAGCCAGGGUACAAACUGGGCAUUAGAUACCCCACUAUAA